GACGUAGGGUCCAAGCGUUGUCCGGAUUUACUGGGCGUAAAGAGCGCGUAGGCGGUCCGUUAAGUGUAGAGUGAAAGCUCCGGGCUCAACUCGGAAAUUGCUCUGCAUACUGGCGGACUCGAGGACGGAAGAGGUUUGUGGAAUUCCUGGUGUAGCGGUGAAAUGCGUAGAUAUCGUGAGGAAGACCAGUGGCGAAGGCGGGUCUCUGGACAGUUCCUGACGCUGAGGCGCGAAGGCCAGGGGAGCAAACGGG
rnacentral:rRNA from 1 species